UGUUGAUGAUGAUAAAUACCAAAGGCUUGUUUCUCAAAAACAUUCGCAGUGGCCACCUAGGAGCUUUCACCUUCGCCUGGCUUGAGAGCUUGUGCUGCUUCAUUUCUUCCUUGGAUGUCUGAGACC